ACGCUAGCGGCAGGCCUAACACAUGCAAGUCGAGGGAGGAGCCUUCGGGCUUCGACCGGCGUACGGGUGCGUAACGCGUAUACAAUCUGCCUUUCACAUAGGGAUAGCCCGAAGAAAUUUGGAUUAAUACCUAAUGGUAUAUAGGAGUGGCAUCACAUUUAUAUUAAAGCUGAGGCGGUGAAAGAUGAGCAUGCGUUCUAUUAGCUAGUUGGAGAGGUAACGGCUCCCCAAGGCGACGAUAGAUAGGGGUUCUGAGAGGGAUAUCCCCCACACUGGUACUGAGAUACGGACCAGACUCCUACGGGAGGCAGCAGUGAGGAAUAUUGGACAAUGGUCGGAAGACUGAUCCAGCCAUGCCGCGUGCAGGAAGACGGCCUUAUGGGUUGUAAACUGCUUUUGCAGGGGAAGAAUAAGGACUACGUGUAGUUUGAUGACGGUACUCUGCGAAUAAGCAUCGGCUAACUCCGUGCCAGCAGCCGCGGUAAUACGGAGGAUGCGAGCGUUAUCCGGAAUCAUUGGGUUUAAAGGGUCCGUAGGCGGGCUAAUAAGUCAGAGGUGAAAGCGCUCAGCUCAACUGAGCAACUGCCUUUGAAACUGUUAGUCUUGAAUGGUUGUGAAGUAGUUGGAAUGUGUAGUGUAGCGGUGAAAUGCUUAGAUAUUACACAGAACACCGAUAGCGAAGGCAUAUUACUAACAAUUAAUUGACGCUGAUGGACGAAAGCGUGGGGAGCGAACAGGAUUAGAUACCCUGGUAGUCCACGCUGUAAACGAUGGAUACUAGCUGUUUGGUUGUAAGACUGAGUGGCUAAGCGAAAGUGAUAAGUAUCCCACCUGGGGAGUACGCACGCAAGUGUGAAACUCAAAGGAAUUGACGGGGGCCCGCACAAGCGGUGGAGCAUGUGGUUUAAUUCGAUGAU
rnacentral:rRNA from 1 species